UUAAUAUAGAAAACAGAUAUGUCUUUGCAUUUAUCCUUUUUAAGAUUAAAUAUUGGAAAACGUAAUAAGGCAUCAGCUAGUUGGUGAUCUUUCUCUGAGACAAAUUCAAUGGUAAAACAGUAUCCUGUCAGUUUCUGCAAAAUACCUUAGAUUUUUGAAUUUUCUAUUAAAUCUAUAUUAGCCCAACGAAACAUUCCUAUAAGAGGUUUAUGGUCUGUAAUUAUUUUUAUCUGAUUUCCCCGCAAGUAAGUUCUACAUUUGAGGAUAGCUAAUUGAAUGGCGAAUGCUUCUAAUUUGUAAACUGCAUAUCUCGUUUCAGCGUCGUUCUAAAAUUGUGAGCCACACUGAAUUAAUCUAGUGGAGCCAUCACUGUGGAUUUGUAAAAGAGCAAAACCAAUUCCCCGAAGACAUGAAUCAUCCUUCAAAAGUGUAAUCGGAAGGUUUGGAUCCAAGUGAGCGAGAACAGAGCCUUUUGGGUCGAUGAGAAUCCGUUUUAUUUUCUCAAAUGCAUUUUCAUGCUCAUGUAGCCACUGAAAAUUAAUAUUUUUUUAAAAUAGGCUGCGAAGAUGUCCUAUGUCUGGAAGGAAUUGAAUUCAUUGUUUAGUAAUGCCAAGGAUGUGUCUGAGAUCAGUCAAAUUGCAUGAUGAACGAAAUUUGGCGAUGACUACAACAUUUUCUGGGUCUGACGCUGUUGGAUGAAACAAUAUUUAUAGUAUACAUCAAGGAUUCGCCUAUUUGAAUUUUUAAUUUUAAUAUUAUAAUAUUAUUCCCCUUACAUCCCACAAGGAUUAAUUUGACUCUAUUAAUAAGUUCUUCAGGGUUAGAAGCAAAUAUGAGGAAGUCAUCGACGAUUUUUUACACUCCUUUCAAACCUUAUUAUGCUCUUUCGCCUUUCAAAAAAAUGUAUUUCCGAAUGUGUUCAGUCCCAUUGGAACUCUACAAUAUCAAAAAAGUCAAAAGAAUUAAAGGAAUGUGGUUUGGCUGCAAGACUUUUCAUCGAGUUCAACCUGCCAAUAUCCCUUAGUGGCAUCUAAUACAACGAAGUAUUUUGAUGUUGAUGUAAUUGAAAAUGAGAGUUAUAUUGGGGACGGGAAGGGAUUAAUAGUCAGUUUAACGAAAUUGUUAAGGCGGGUGUAAUCCACUACUAACCUUACGGAUCUCAUUGGUUUUGGAAUUGCAAUACAAGGAGUAAUCCAAUUGGAAGAUGCAUCUCGGAACGCAAAUGGAAUGUUUCGUGCUGUGGUAACGUACAUCGGGCAAAUAUCCAGAUUUUCCUUUAAGCCUAUUCGCAAUGAAGGAUCCUUCAUGUCCUUCAGUUUUUCAAAGAUUGAAAAACAGAAUCAAUUUCACCAAUUAUACUUUUACUUCCCUUUUUAUAUUUUUGAACGAGGUAACCCUGUCGUCUAUACUGUCUUAUAGAUGAUAGAUUUAUUUGAAGAUAAUUGAGUGAGUUGAGGAAAAGAUUCAUAUCUGGAGUAACGUAUGCCCUGAUGUAUGUUUCUAAAAUUUCUCCAAUUUUGAUACGAAGACAGACAGGGCCCAUGAAUCUCAAGCUUAAAUUGUUCGCUGCUGUUAUGGAAAAUCUUUUAGUUGAUUUUAUUUCGAUGUUGUACUCAAAUACUUAGUUGUGAGAAAAAAGAGACUCAGUAGCUCCUGUAUCAGGAAGAGCUUUCAUGGUAAUGGGUUGACAUGCCCUUAGAUAAACGUCACCCUAGAAAUAUGGAGUGACGUGAUCGAUGGAUAAAAUUUUCACUCGGAUCUUGGACGUUUUGAUUGGCUCAGCCUUGCUCUGCACUGGAGAUUUUGUCACUCGAUGGUGCCCACUCCCACACAUCCAGAGAGACGCAGCAGUGGUGUGAGGGUAUUGGAGUGCCUUCAAAGACUAGACUGUCUGCCCCUCCUCCAGCGCCGACCUAAACGUCAUAGAUACUCCAUGUGAUUAAUUCUUAACAGUAGAGCCUGUUUGAACCCCAGCAAGAAUUUGGACGACCUGAAAGCCAAACUACUGGUUGCUUGGGACUCCAUCCGCGUGGACAUGGUGUGUUCAGCAUGCAAUUUCUUUCCAGAGAGACCUUGGGUUGUGGUCUAAGUUAGUGUGACCAUUUCGAAUGAAUGUUAUGUUUCAUGUUUUUGAAACUUGUGUGGACCUAUGUCUAUAAUUAUUUUCAAAUUAUGUAAUUAGUUAUUUCACUUGUACUUAAAUAAACAUUUAACAGAA
rnacentral:lncRNA from 1 species